rnacentral:rRNA from 1 species
ACAAACGACUCUCGGCAACGGAUAUCUCGGCUCUCGCAUCGAUGAAGAACGUAGCGAAAUGCGAUACUUGGUGUGAAUUGCAGAAUCCCGUGAACCAUCGAGUCUUUGAACGCAAGUUGCGCCCGAAGCCAUUAGGUUGAGGGCACGUCUGCCUGGGCGUCAC